AGGAGGGGUUCCAAGCAUAGGGGGCAGUGUGGAAAAAUUCAGCAAGGGAGAGACAAAGGAGAUAGUAAGGCAGGAUGAAUGGGUGGCAUAAUGUGAGGGUGACUCCCAUGGCCUGGAGCAGGAAUCCACCUGUGUAUGUGAUGCUGGAAUUGGGCCUGUUGUUCUCCAUGGCUGCAGUCCAGCCCAUUAUAUGUCAGAUUAAGUGGGGGCCUCCUGGUAAAUGGGCCUUGGUUCAGCAAAAAUGUAGACACCCCUGCCCUAGAAAGUCAACAGAUUCUCUCGAACUAUCUCACAUUCAUUUCUUUCUAGCUAAUCUCACUUACGUUGUGCCCCUACCUGUGGCAUUUGAGCUCAUCCAUGGGAGGGCAUCAUUGAGCCUCAUUCAUAGGCACAGCAAGCUAUAGACCAUCUGGCCAAUGGCAGGGUUAAAAAUAGGAGGUCUAGUUCUCAGUUACAACAAGGCCGUUUUAUACUGCUCUGUGGAGCUACCUUAAAAGGCCUCCCUGAAAACACUACAGGGCCUCCGGGGCUGGUAGAGGUCUCCCUACCACCUCCCCCAGCAUAAAGAUUGUGGCAGGGCUGUGGCACGAGAACGGUACAGUAUAGCUAUUCGCUUCUUACCUGGGCCAUAGGGGCCCUUGAGGCUGCUCUAACUUGCACCCAGGGCUGGCUCCAGACCACAGAGGUGAUGUGAAGCUAAGUUCCCCUCCACCAAGCACAACAAAGUAAUUGAGCAUCAGGAUGUGUAGGAGACAGCCACCAGCCUGAGGCUGACAUGACAGUGAAACCAAGUCAGUCACGGUGAUUUUUUUUUAACUGGAUAGAGUGACUCUGUCCUUAACCCUGACCACACUUUCCUUACAGAUUUGGGGGGGAUGGAGGGAGAGGGGUCUUUUAAACGCCAUACUAAGCCUGUGCCAAGAGCCCUGCAUGAAUGAAUUGUCACAUGACUCAAAGGUUUUUGGCAAACAAAUAUUGCACUCCACAAAAGGUCAUCAUGACAGAUUUACUUGCCGUAAGUAUUCAUUAUCAGUCACCCCACUGGCGUCCAGAGAAGACUCCCCUCCCCGCUGGGGAGGGAGGUCUUAGUUCAGUUAUUUUGUGUCACUCGGUUGUGAAAAGAGCUGAAUUUGAUUUGGUGGGAGGUUGGGGGCACGCCAGUUUGAGGCAUGAGACUUGAUCUUUCCAGUUCUUUUAUACUGACAGGUCCAGCACAAACAGUUUGACCCAUUGUAUUCUAUACAUUCCUUCACAGCUCCUUGGCCGACAUCAGGUUUGCUCGUGCUACAAACUGGCUGUUGCACUUUUUUAACUAUAAUUCUCUUUAUUUUAUUUGUCAAAAGCUGCUUAAAGUGACAUUUCAACAUAGUUGCAGAAAAUUGUGACUAAAGGAAGUCUUGGAAUGUCCAGGUGGAUAUAAUGGAUAUUAGUACUGUAUAUAUCAUGUUUUGAAUUUUUACCUGAACUAAUGAAACAUGUCCACUUAAAUAACGGAACAAUACAUUUGAGUGUCAAAUGCAUUUCUUAAGUUAGUGUUUGUAAUCUGAAAUCCAUCUUGUCAGUUGUAUACAUUUGUUAUGUCACUGGUAAUAAAACUGUGGUACUAAAUGGCA
rnacentral:lncRNA from 1 species